GAUCGUGCAGGUCUUGUUGUCCUGGUGGCUGGUCACACUCUUAACAGUGGAAACAUGGAAAGGCACCAUGCUGCCAUAGAUGGGUAAGAGGAUGGCCUCGUUCUUCUGAUCUACUUGUAUCAUCAGUUCUUUUGAAUAUGGAAAGUCAUUGAUGUUCUUAUAAGCAACCAACUCACUCGAAGCUUUCACAGUACCGCGCCCAUCUCCAGCACCAGACCCACCACCAGCCAACCUCCUAGCAGUCUCUUCAUUCUUCAUGCGUGCUAGUUCAGCCUGGUGUUGUCUCCGCUGCUCUUCCUUCGACAUCUCCUGGUUGUCUGAUCGCAAGGUUGCUUUCGACAUAUACUGUUGCACAUUGCCAUUUACCUCUGUUUUAACUUUUUGUUUUUCUUCUGCGUCGUCUUCAUUGUCUUCAUUGAAGGAGUACGCAACAUCUUUGACAGCCUUGGAGCACAUAGAGGUCAGGACAUCUGGAGCCUUCUCACUUACCACAACCAC
rnacentral:misc_RNA from 1 species